GCACCUGUGGCGGAAUAGGUAGACGCGCACGCUUGAGGGGCGUGUGAAGCAAUUCGUAAGAGUUCAAAUCUCUUCAGGUGCACCA
rnacentral:tRNA from 1 species